AUAACUUCCCUCUAGACUUAGCGGCUAUCGAAGCUCCAUCUACAAAUGGAUAAGAUCCUGUCUUAGUGUAUAGGAGUUAUUGAAAAUAAAGGAGCAAUAAUCACUUUCUUGUUCUAUCAAGAAAGCGGUAUUGCUCCUUUAUUUUCUUUUUAUUUAGUAGUAUUUUACUUAUGUAGGCUUUUCUUUCUUAUAUUACAGAAAAAGAAAGAAAAAGGAUUCUGUUCAUGAUUAAGGAUUCUACUUUUGUUCUGUAUUAAUUUGUUUGUAAUUUCUAAAACUUCUUCGUAAUUUUUUGUUGUGAAGUUUUUUUAUAUAAUAAGGGGCGGAUGUAGCCAAGUGGAUUAAGGCAGUGGAUUGUGAAUCCACCAUGCGCG
rnacentral:misc_RNA from 1 species